rnacentral:rRNA from 1 species
UACCAGCACCCCGAGUGGUCGGGACGAUUAUUGGGCCUAAAGCAUCCGUAGCCGGUUUUACAAGUCCUCCGUUAAAUCCACCUGCUUAACAGAUGGGCUGCGGAAGAUACUAUAGAGCUAGGAGGCGGGAGAGGCAAGCGGUACUCGAUGGGUAGGGGUAAAAUCCGUUGAUCCAUUGAAGACCACCAGUGGCGAAGGCGGCUUGCCAGAAUGCGCUCGACGGUGAGGGAUGAAAGCUGGGGGAGCAAACCGG